CAGGGAUCAUGGACAAAUACAUAACAUGAAGAAUGGAGCCUGUUAAAGAUGGAGCUAACUGAAAUUGUUGAUGCAGACCAAAGAGAAGCACAAAUAAAAUGGAUACACAGC
rnacentral:lncRNA from 12 species